UUNUUACCGGAGUACUAUGAAUACUGUAAAUUUAAAACUCAAAGAACUUGGCGGUGUUUUAGACCACUCAGGGGAACCUGUCUCGUAAUCGACAAUCCACGUUGUACCUGACCUUUCUUUGUUUUCAGUUUGUAUACCGUUGUCGUCAGGUAACUUUUUAGAAUGUAGAAGUUGGCUGGAAAAAUAAAUAAUUUAGUACGUCAAAUCAAGGUGCAGCUAACAGAAAGGGGAGGAUGGGUUACAAUUAUUUAUUUAUAAUUACGGAUUAUUAUGUUAAAGCGUAAGGAUAAGAAGGAGGACUUGAAAGUAAAUUAAAUUUAUAAGAAUAAAUUUGAAUAAGGCUCUGAAACGUGU
rnacentral:rRNA from 1 species